rnacentral:rRNA from 1 species
UGGCGAAGGCAGGUCUCUGGGCCAUUACUGACACUGAGGAGCGAAAGCGUGGGGAGCGAACAGGAUUAGAUACCCUGGUUGUCCACGCCGUAAACGGUGGGCACUAGUUGUGGGAACCUUCCACGGUUUCUGCGACGCAGCUAACGCAUUAAGUGCCCCGCCUGGGGAGUACGAUCGCAAGAUUAAAACUCAAAGGAAUUGACGGGGCCCCGCACAAGCAGCGGAGCAUGCGGCUUAAUUCGACGCAACGCGAAGAACCUUACCAAGGCUUGACAUAUACAGGAAUAUGGCAGAAAUUCCAUAGCCGCAAGGUCUGUAUACAGGUGGUGCAUGGUUGUCGUCAGCUCGUGUCGUGAGAUGUUGGGUUAAGUCCCGCAACGAGCGCAACCCUCGUUCUGUGUUGCCAGCAUUUAGUUGGGGACUCACAGGAGACUGCCGGGGUUAACUCGGAGGAAGGUGGGGAUGACGUCAAAUCAUCAUGCCCCUUAUGUCUUGGGCUGCACGCAUGCUACAAUGGCUGGUACAAACGGCUGCGAUACCGCAAGGUGGAGCGAAUCCGAUAAAGCCAGUCUCAGUUCGGAUUGGGGUCUGCAACUCGACCCCAUGAAGUCGGAGUUGCUAGUAAUCGUAGAUCAGCAACGCUACGGUGAAUACGUUCCCGGGGCUUGUACACACCGCCCGUCACGUCACGAAAGUCGGUAACACCCGAAGUCAGUGGCCCAACCGUAAGGGGGGAGCUGCCGAAGGUGGGAUCGGUGAUUGGGACG